GAUGAAGAACGUAGCGAAAUGCGAUAAGUAAUGUGAAUUGCAGAAUUUAGUGAAUCAUCGAAUCUUUGAACGCACAUUGCGCCCGCUGGUAUUCCGGCGGGCAUGCCUGUUCGAGCGUCAUUUCAACCCUCAAGCCCCCGGGUUUGGUGUUGGGGAUCGGCUCUGCCCUUCUGGGCGGUGCCGCCCCCGAAAUACAUUGGCGGUCUCGCUGCAGCCUCCAUUGCGUAGUAGCUAACACCUCGCAACUGGAACGCGGCGCGGCCAUGCCGUAAAACCCCAACUUCUGAAUGUUGACCUCGGAUCAGGUAGGAAUACCCGCUGAACUUAAGCAUAUCAAUAAGCGGAGGA
rnacentral:misc_RNA from 1 species